AACGAACGCUGGCGGCAUGCCUAACACAUGCAAGUCGAACGAGACCUUCGGGUCUAGUGGCGCACGGGUGCGUAACGCGUGGGAAUCUGCCCUUGGGUUCGGAAUAACAGUUGGAAACGACUGCUAAUACCGGAUGAUGACGUAAGUCCAAAGAUUUAUCGCCCAGGGAUGAGCCCGCGUAGGAUUAGCUAGUUGGUGGGGUAAAGGCCUACCAAGGCGACGAUCCUUAGCUGGUCUGAGAGGAUGAUCAGCCACACUGGGACUGAGACACGGCCCAGACUCCUACGGGAGGCAGCAGUGGGGAAUAUUGGACAAUGGGCGAAAGCCUGAUCCAGCAAUGCCGCGUGAGUGAUGAAGGCCUUAGGGUUGUAAAGCUCUUUUACCCGGGAUGACAAUGACAGUACCGGGAGAAUAAGCCCCGGCUAACUCCGUG
rnacentral:rRNA from 1 species